rnacentral:rRNA from 1 species
CCCGCUGAACUUAAGCAUAUCAAUAAGCGGAGGAAAAGAAACCAACAGGGAUUGCCUCAGUAACGGCGAGUGAAGCGGCAAUAGCUCAAAUUUGGAAUCUGGCUCUUUCAGAGUCCGAGUUGUAGUUUGUAGAGGAUGCUUCGGCAGAAUUAGGCAGCAGUUAAAGUUCCUUGGAACAGGAAGUCAGAGAGGGUGAGAAUCCCGUUUAUGACUGAACUUUGCCCUGCCAUAAUGUAGCUCCUUCAACGAGUCGAGUUGUUUGGGAAUGCAGCUCUAAAUGGGUGGUAAAUUUCAUCUAAAGCUAAAUAUUGGCCAGAGACCGAUAGCGCACAAGUAGAGUGAUCGAAAGAUGAAAAGCACUUUGGAAAGAGAGUUAAACAGUACGUGAAAUUGUUGAAAGGGAAGCGCUUGCAAUCAGACUUGCUUAUAGUUGAUCACCCGGUGUUAAUUUCACUGGGGGCAUUCAAUUAUGAUCAGGCCAGCAUCAGUUUAGAUGGUUAGAUAAAGACCUUUGGGGGAAUGUAGCUCUCUUAGGGGAGUGUUAUAGCCCCUGGUGUAAUGUAGCCUAUCUAGACUGAGGACCGCGCUUUAAAUGGCUAGGAUGCUGGCGUAAUGGUUGUAAGCGACCCGUCUUGAAACACGG